AGAAACUCAUCUAUUUUUAGAGUUUUCCUAAUGGUUGUUUUCUAAAGAAAUACUAUAGAAACAAUUUUAUAGAGAGGGAGGAGACCACUGAGAGCUAGGGAUUGAGAGAAGCCAUUUUCCAUCAUGUCUGCCAAGACAGCAGAGAAAGAAGUUGACUGUCUUCUUCCUUUAUAAAAACUACUGUCAUUUCAAUCUCUGGAAGGGGUGUGUAGCUUCCAAGGAGCAAUGGAUCCAAAAUGAGCUCAGCUUAGCUCCAUCAAUCAACUUCACAACUCAAACCCUGGACACAUCAGACAUUCCUGUAGCAACUGCUCCAAUAGCAGGCUCUGAACCAGAUACCUAGGCAUAAUCCCAGGAGAACAGGGUAACUUGGUUGCUGUGACGUACCAAGAGUAUUACCCAAACUGCAGAUGGAAAAAAAAAAAGAUCUGAUUAAUUUUAGAAGAAUAUUUCAAAUGAAGACAGAAAGGCCAAGGGAUGUCUUUUGUUUCCCCCCUCCAAUCUAUUCUCCUACAAAGGAUGCUUCUCUAGCACAGAUGAUACCCUAUCAUUGCCCUCCUUAAGGAUCUCCAGCGGUCUCCCUAUUUCAUCAAGAAGGAAAUACAUGCAUGGAAACUCUGGACUUGAUUUCCCAACCCACCACACAUGGAGGCUGGGUCUUCAGUGUGAGAAAGGUUGCAUCUCCUGCUCUGGAUUCUAGGGAUAAUAACCCUGCCGAGUUGACAGUUAACAGUUAUUUUUCUCUAAUGCUUUGGCUAGAGUUUUCAUUCUGCUGUUUUCUCCCCAAUGUCAACCAUUGGCGAUUGGGACUCCAGAUUAAUUUAGCCCAUUAAUAUCAAUGAAUGUGAAGUAAUUUUUAUGAAGGGAUAUUGCUGAGAAGAUAUAGCAAGAACAGAUGGACAAACAUUCCUUCCACCAUCUGGAGGUAUGAUGACUCCUGUACCACUUUGUUACCUGGAAAGAAUGAACUCAAAGGUAAAAUAGUUUCUACAUGGUUUCUGCCUCACCAAUUUCAUUUCCAAAUUAUAUCCAUAAUCUUUGUCAAGAAAACCCCAAAUGGGGUCAUGAAGAGUUGGGCCCAAAUGACCAAUAAGAUAAUUCUAGAGGUAACCUUGUACCAGGUGGCAAUGUUUUCUUCUGUGAGGGAUCAGGAGGUCUUUCUCACAGAAAGAAGGGGUGGGUAGGUAGAUAUAUUGAAGGGGAGCAGAAUUGGCUCAGGUAGAGGGAAAGCCUUUGUAGAACUGAUGAAGGCCAAAGGUCUGGAUUUAGGAUUAUCUCAGGGCACUGAAGAGUAGAGAGACAAGUGGACUGGCCUCCUGGGGGAUGAGACAGGGUUUUCUGGGAUGGCCCAAAAGUGAAGAUGCCUGAACAAUGGAGAGCAUGAUAGGGAUGGCAUAAAUACUUGUUGAGUUAAAUUGAAUUAAACUGGUAGAUAAAAUUCUACUGAUGAACUUUUCUGAAUUUAGCUGGGUAGGUUCUUAGGACAGAUGUAUAAUCUGUUGCUUGGUGGGUACUUGAAACCUCUUUAUCUUCUUUCUUUUUUUUUUUUUGUUAGAUUUAUCCAGUUCUAAGAGGUUUAAAUCCAUCACUAUUACAGUUUUGUCAUCUAUUUCCACCUGUAAUUCCUUUAGCUUUUCUUUAAAACUUUGACUGCUAUAAAUUUUAGUGCAUAUAUGUUUAAUAUUGAUAUCUAUGUUACUUUUUAACAUAAUAUAAUGUCCUUGUUUAUCUCUUUUAAUUAGAUCUAUUUCUGCUUUUACCUUAUCUGAGAUCAUUAUUGUUAGCCCUGCUUUUUUUUUGUCAGCUGAAAUAUAAUAUAUUCUAUUCUAUCCCUCUGUUUUUACCCUAUGUGUGUCUCUCAUUUUAAAAUGUGUUUCUUGUAAACAAAAUAUUGUUGAGUUUUGGUUUUUAAUCCAUUCUACUCUUCAUUUCCAUUUUAUAGGUGAAUUCAUCCCAUUCAUAUUCAAAUUUCUCUCCAUUCUAUUUUUCUUCACUGUUUCAUUCUUUGCCUCUUUUUUUAUUAUUCCUUCUCAGAAAUAUAAUUUUAUGAUAACUACUACCUCCCUAAUCUGAUUUUAUUCUUGACUGAAGUAGUCUUUAAUAAUCCUAGGUAAUGUUCACCUAACAUUAAGACAUCAAGGUAGGUCUUCAGUCUGCCAUGAUGUGGUACUGGAGUUGGAUUUUAAUAGAAGAAGGCAAGUGUUAUUUUUAAAACUCUGGAGAUUGAAAUCAAAUGACUCAUCUAAGGUUAAUCUACUAAAAAAGUGACUUAAACCCAUGACCUCUGACUAAGGUUAGUACUUGUCUCACCUCACCAUUCUGCCACUCUAAUGCUUACAUUAUUUUGUUCAGUUGUUUUUUAGUCAUGUCCAAUUGUUCAUGACCCCAUUUGGGGUUUUCUUGGCAGAUAUUGGAUAGUUUGCCAUUUCCUUCUCAGCUCAUUUUAUAGAUUAAAAAUGGAGGCAAAAAGGGUUAAGUGAUUUGCCCAGAAUUAUACAGCUAGUGGCUAAUGCCAGAUUUGAACUCAUGAAUGAGUCCUCCUGUCUCCAAGUCCAGUGUUCUACUUACUUCACCAUCUGGCUGCCCAUUUACAUUAUACUUUAUAUUAUAAAGUUAUCUUACAAGGCCAAAGUUUUAUUCUUGGAUUAUGUUUCUGAAUUAGAAGUUAUAUAUAGGAGACAAAGAUAAAGCAGUUUCUCUAUCACCAAUGAAACUGUUGGUGUGAAAAAAACCCUAGAUAUCCUUAUCUUCUCAAGAAUUCUUGAGUUCCUUUAGUUUAUAGCUAUCACUUUGUUUAUACUUUUCACUAUCUGGAAAAGGAAACCCCAAAAUUCAUUCAAGUGUAAAUCUGUGAAAUGAAUAGAAAAUAGGGAUGGAUAUGCAAAGUUUUAAUACCCAUUCAUUUUAACUUUGUGGUGUUAUGAUUUACUGCAAACUUAACAAAAAGGCCUGAAUGAACUCAUAUAGUUAUUUAAAAUAACUAUUCAGGGUGCCAGACUUUGGGGGGAUACUGAAAUUAUAUUUAUUCAUAAGAUUGUAUUGAUAUUAUCUUUUGCUUUUACUUCAGCUUCAUUUCCAAAUAUGUCAAUUCCCUUUCUCCAGGUGAGCUAUCUUUUGCAAUAAAGAAUAAAAAAGAGAGAGAGAGAAAAAAAAAGAGCAGCAUAUUUGAAGUUCCAUACCCAGAGUCCUCAUCUCCACAUUAUAGGGAGGGAAGUGUAUUUUUUCCCCUUUUGUUUUUUAUGGCUAUCUUGGUCCUUAAAAUCACACAGCCUUUAGUGGCUUUCUUUUUUUAAACUUUUUGGUUCUAUUUCCAUUGCUGGAGUCAUUAAGCAUAUUGUUUUCCUUGGUUCUGCAUACUUUACUCCGCAUCAGUUUACAUCUUCACAUAAUUUUCUAACGCUUCAUAUGCAGUUUCUUUUACAUAUUUAAAAUUUAAUUUUAAAUCACCUACAUUUCCCAAUGUUUACCUUACCCCAUUCCCUGCCAAAGAGUCACCCUCCAAAACAAAGAAUAAAAAUAUUCUUUAAAAGUUCAGCAAAAACCCAAAAAAGCCAACGUAUUGAAGAAAGUCUAUGUGAUGCAGUGUUCCACACCUCUACUACUCUGCCUCUAAAAACAAGGUAGGUAAAGUCUAUGUGAUGCAGUGUCCCACUCCUCUGCCUCUAAAAACAAGGUAGGUAGGUGCCUUUUCAUAUAUUUUCUUUAGAGUCAAAAUUAUAUUUCAUAAAUUCACAAUAUUUGCUUUAGAUUGCUUUGUGGUGGUUGUUCUUUGCAAUUCCAUUGCUCUAGCCAUUAUGCAUAGUGUUUUCCUAGUUUUACUUAAUUCAUUUUAUAUCAGUUUAUAUAAAUUUUCCUGUGCUUCUUUGCACCAUAGUUAUAGUUUCUUAAAAUGUAGUAUUAUUCCAUUGCAACUCAGGUAUUAUAACUGGUUUAGCCAUUCUCUGACUGGACAUUUGCUUCAUUUCCAGCUUUGUAAUGAGUAUUCUUAUGUAUAUUGUGACAUGUGGGGCCGCUAUAAAUACUUAGGACCUGUAUUUUAGGAGAGAUUUCUUAAAUAGAUGCUACUUUAGAAAUCUGAGGCAUCAUCUUUCUGGUCAUUUUAGAGGGCAAGAGGUAGGAACUGGGUGAUCUCUGGAUUUAUGGUUUAGCUCUGUCUUCACAGAGAUAGAGAAGUAUAAGGGAAAGUGCAGUAACUUUGAAGUCAGGACAACUGUCAAGUUGCUUCUUAGCAUGAGCGAAAUACCUUCCUUCAGCUAUAACUUGGAGAUAAAACAUUUAUAAUGAACUAAAUCCAAAGAUUGUGGUGGGGAAAGUAUUCGUGUAAAACCUAUGUAAACCGUGAGUUUUAUUAUCUGUUGUCCUGAGAACUGAGAUCCCCUUCUAAGAUCACAGGACAGACGUGGCUUCUGAGCAGCACCCGAGCCCUUGUCAGACAUUUCUCGGUCCCAGUUUCACUGAUUGUAGAGCGAACAAGUCCCGCUUUCUGUCUCCUCUUCCUAAGGAUCUGGACUUGGCUUCCUCUCGGUGCCGGUUUUCCUUGGGCAGUUUCGUUCCUCCCGCAGCUUAGUCUAUCACUGGUUGCCAUACCUGGUUCUCAAAGAGGACCAACAGGACAUCCUAGAGAUGUCUUUUGACUUGCGCACAAAUUAGAUGGGAGGCAGAGUUGCACAGAGCGGUCAGCCUCCCUCUCCCUUCCGGAGCCCUCUAACUCUAGUGCCAACUAGAAUGAUUUAGUGGAAAUUCUAGAAAGAUCUACCCACAUCAAAACAAAGGAACAAAAGUCGGGAUGCCUCGUGACAGCUCAGUAUGCAGUGCAGUGAUGACUGGCCCUUCGACGUCUCACCAAGCUCUAAAAAGUCCACAGUGCCCGCUUCGGCCGCCCACCUGGCUAUUGGAGCAGAUCCUAGUCCUCAGCCCGCUCGCCGGAGGGAAGACGCUCUCCUCCCUCACUGGGCGUGACGGCUACCCGGACUUGCCACUUGCCCAGAGGGUUUCCCAGGUGAGAGCCGGGUGUCGGGGGGCACACCGAAGGAGAGCGGUCCUGAGAGGGGCACAGCGAGGCGUCACGCUGGAACAUCCCCGACAUACCCCUCAGCCUCAACCUGAGCUCCAUCUCGUCCUACGUGACUCCUCACGCUCUGUGCGCGUCCUACUGGCUGUUUUCCCGCGGCUUGCACACUUUCCCCCUUCUCCCCAAAGCCUUUCCUGAUCCUCCUUCUCAGUGCCCUUCCUCUCUCCCGUUCUGAUGGAACCUGGGCACAUUUUCUCCCCAACAGAAUUUUAAGCACCUUCCGUGGUUUUUCAUUCUUUGUAUUACACCCCCACUCCCACGCCCCAGUGCUUAAUAAAAGCUUGUUGAGUGAUCGAAUUGGCCCGGACACAAGCCAAGCCUGACUCACAAUGGGUCAUUGUUAUUCAGCAGCUUCAAGCGCAGCUGCUAGUUAUCAGGAAGAAGAACUAUAGCUAAGGAAGAGAAAUUGGAUUCCACGAUUUCCUUAAAGAAGGUUCUAUAUAUGGUCAGUGACAUUGGGAAGUAACGAUGGGAGCCUGCUGAUCUCGAAUAAGUAAUACAUGUCCUAAGAAUGACCUGGAGAGAAGAGAAUGCGAUCUCAGUCAGGGAGGGUCAGAGCAUUUUGCGGAAGUUAGAAGAAAAAGCAAGAAAAAAUGAUGAACCAUGUUUAGAGGCAAUACAAAUGUUUCUUCUCAGGAAAAGAGUAUGCUUUUAUUUUGCAGUUUAGUGGCCAAUAAGCAGAAGUGACAAUCAUCAUCACAGUAAUACCAGCCUGAUCCAUCACUUAGCCUCAUGUCUGUAAGUAGAAAUCCAGACAUUAGGAGCAUCUUGAACCAUGAGUCAUAGGUGAAAAUAAGGAAUUGGCAAAUGAAGAAUGGGCGCUGGAGGCAUUUGUGAACUUCAUACUCCUAGUGGGCCUACAGCUCCACUGCUUUUCCCAGAAUCGGACUGGUUUCCAUUCCUAGAAUGCAUUCACCUCUCAUUCUUCAGAUCCCUGACUCCCACGAAGGCUCAGUUCAGGAGCUAUUCUAUGUAAAAUCCUCACCAGAUCCACUGGAGGCCUUGGCACCCAAAGGGAGAUGUAGUCAUUUGAAGUAACCACUAAGCUCCCUAAACAGACACCUACUGUACUCUCCAUUCCUUUGCAAGCCCAGCCAAACUUCAACCUUUGGAUACACUAAAGCUAAGUAUGUCAUAUUCCUGUCUCAUACAACUACAUUAAUUAAAUGAUACUUCAGUUACUUCCCUCCAAAGACAUAAGGAUGCUUUAGCAGCCAUCAAUUUCAUAUUAUCCCAUCUCCUAGUCACUUAUGUCAAAACUUGAGUUAGAAUUAGGAAACCUUAGGGUCUAAUCUUAAUUUAUACCUUACCAGGAUUCCCCUCAAAAAUCUCAAAUCAUCCUGUUAGAAGACCCCCCUUUAUCUUUAUAAGGAAGUUACUGUGCCGAGUUUAAUAAAACUUGUUUUUUUUAAACCCUUUUCAUUCCAUCUUGGAGUCAAUACUGUGUUGGCUCCAAGGCAGAAGAGUGGUAAGGACUAGGCAAUGAUGGUUAAGUGACUUGUCCAGGGUCACACAGCUGGGAAGUGUCUUGAGGUCAGAUUUGAACCUAGGACCUCGUCUCUAGGCCUGGUUCUCAAUCCACUGAGCUACCCAACUGCCCCAACACUGUUUUUCAAAGCAGCCCAAUCCACUUUGGAGUAGCUUUAAGUAUCAGAUAGAAGUUGCCUCCUAGAACUUCUCUAGUUUUGUCCUGUGGGAUCAAAGCAAAACAAAUUUGUUGCUUCAGUCUUCUCCAGGUUAAAUGGUUCCCGUUUCUCCAACAUUGAUGACAGAUUAAAAAAAAAAAAAGCUAGUUCCAAAACAGGUUGCAUUUUAAGAGGGCAUAAAAAACAUAUGUGGCCCUACAUUAUUAAAAUUGAACUGAUACUUCACGGAUUAGAAUCUCAAGUAAUACCAAAGAAAUAAAUGGAAGCUCUGAGUCUCAUUUUAAGGGCUUGAUAUAAGAUAAUUUGGCCAUCAAAAAACCAGCCUAAUUUCAGAGGUUCAUCACAAGCUGGCUUAAGCACAUAAUAUGAGGAUGAAAUACCUAAGUUGGGGAAGGGCUGUUUUCAUUAACUAGUCAAGAUUAAUGAAAGGCAAGAUUUUGAGCUAUUUUUUCUCAUGAGAAAGCAACAUGGUAUAGUGGUAUAAGCAUUGGUUUGGGGGGUUAGAGGAUUUGAUUUCAGAUUCUGGCCUUGUUAUUCACAACCUAUAAAUUUGAGCAAGUAAAA